CAGUUAGAUUAGACCCCCUAGAAAUCCAUAAAAACGAAUGUUAGGCCGAGAACGACUGUGGGGCGUAGGGUUUUGUUGGUGGUCGUCUCGAUAAAUCUGGCCUCGGCAUUGCUGCUGGUUUGGUCAGGAGAGUCAGAAUCAUGAAAAAAAAUACUUGCACAUGAUUUUGAACGUUAUAGUAGAAAAAUAAAGAGGAAAGAGAAGAGAUACAGUGGUAUCAUUUUUAUGUUUAUGUGGAUCCCAAACAUGGGGGAAAAGAAAAGGGGUAGUGAAGGGAUUCUGGGAAAUGCUGAAGGGUAGGCAAGGAAACAAGAAGAGGACACCGGUUGCUUGCGCAAAUCUAGCUAAUCUGGGGCUUCCGGGCCAACUAAAGUGAAAGUUGGGGUUGAUGCUGUGGUUCAGGCAAAACCCCAAACCCAAAGCCAUCCCCACCCAACCCCCCCUAAGCGAACCAACAUCGCCAUUCCCACAUUUGCUUCUUGGCCUCAUUAUGUUUAGGCAGACACGGUUCUCAAUAUAGCCAGUAGAUACAUGUUGCAAGCCAAACACCUUAUGUCUUCUGCUGCUACUUACUCUUCUUCCUCACUCAAACGCUGUCUUUCUUUUUCUUCACUCUUUGAAUAUUUGAAUCUUUUCUUUCUAGCAAAGGACAAGAAAACCCCAUCAUCAAAGGAAAAAAAACGAAGAAAGUAGAAGAGAAAUAAAUAAAAACGUACAGGCACCAAACCCUUGGUUCUGAUUUUAUGUUUCUCUCUUUGCUUUCAUUCAUGUUCCUUUUGAUUUUUUUUUGACCAUUUUUGCACUCUCCAACAAGGGUUGUGGUGGGGGCAAAAGCGGAAGCAAAGGGAGGACUUUGCUUCAAGAAUGGUGACUGUUGUGAAUCCGUCUACAAAGAGAAUUGGAGGAAGAUUGGGCUCUUCCAUGAGAAUUUAUGUGAAGCGAAUGGGUUUUGGAGGCUCAUAUAAAGCAUGGGGUAAUUAUAGAAGAAACUUCAUUUUCUUCAAACUCCAAUCUUUGCAACAGGCUCUCUUCUUAAUCUUCUUCUUCAGCUUCUGGUGAUGAGAGGGGAAGGUGGUGGCGGUGACGGUGGCGGUGGUGAUAUUGGCUGGACGGCUCAAUCUCUUUAUUGUUCAUUUAUGAUAUACUAAAAUUUGUUCUUCUCUUUUUUGCUGCUUAUUUGUUGGUCCAUAAUGUUGGUAAAUGCAACGGGUAUGUUGGUCUCUUUGCUGAUUUUUUCCUCUUUUAUUUUAUUUUAUUUUAGUUAUACUAACUUCCUCUUUUGGCUUUUAGGUUUAUGCCUUUUGCUUGCUUCAUGAAAAAAAAAACCAUUUUCAUACAAAGCAAAAAAAAAAGAAACUUCAAAACAAGAAACUAGCAGUAAUCAGGAGGUUAGAAAAUAGUGCAGUAAAUAGGCAGGAGCUAAUUCUGUGCAGGGUUGGUGAGUAAAGUUAAUAUUUGAGGUCUCUACACUGUUUUAUUGUACUCAGCCUCUGUCCCUGUAAUUUAUUGUACAUCUUCUGGGGAAAUGUGUGAGCUUUAUUAAUAGUAAUGAUAUUUGUUAAUUAUAAUA